UUAUUGAACAAUCAAACCAAUGUGGAUUAGUUGUAGCUGGUCUCUCGGGGCAUGUGCACGCUUUUCUGCAAUUGUUCUCCAUCCACCUGUGAACAUUUUGUAGAUUUGCGAGGGAUAGAAAGAAGGGUAACCUUCUGACGAAGACUCGCGGUCUAUGUUUUAUAAACACUAAUGAAAGUCUAAGAAUGUCUUGUUAUAUUCAAACAUAAAUAUAACUUUCAGCAACGGAUCUCUUGGCUCUCGCAUCGAUGAAGAACGCAGCGAAAUGCGAUAAGUAAUGUGAAUUGCAGAAUUCAGUGAAUCAUCGAAUCUUUGAACGCACCUUGCGCUCCUUGGCAUUCCGAGGAGCAUGCCUGUUUGAGUGUCAUUAAUUUCUCAACCUUUCUAUUUUGUAAUGAAAUGUUGAAAGGCUUGGAUUGUGGGGGUUUGCUGGCUCUAGUAGUCGGCUCCUCUGAAAUGCAUUAGUGGAGACUUGUAGGCCAUCUCCCUUGGUGUGAUAAUUAUCUACGCCUUGGUUGACUACAAAAGCUUUGCUUUCUAAUCGUCGCAAGACAAUUAUCAAAUUUUGACCUCAAAUCAGGUAGGACUACCCGCUGAACUUAAGCAUAUCAAUAAGCGGAGGAAAAGAAACUAACAAGGAUUCCCCUAGUAACUGCGAGUGAAGCGGGAAAAGCUCAAAUUUAAAAUCUGGCGGUCUUUGGCCGUCCGAGUUGUAAUUUAGAGAAGUGAUAUCCGUGCUGAACCG
rnacentral:rRNA from 1 species